CGCUGUGGCUAGCAUUUGUCUGGCUACUUAUGCUGCCCACAUUGGCCACAACAAAAAUGCUUAUUCCCUCGCUGAAGAUUCAAAGGAAUUGAUGUUUCUGGUUUCUUCGCCAUGAUGACUGAGGCUCAACCCACACCCAAGAGGAGAACAUAAUUGGCGGUUGAUGUAAGGGGACCCGACCGAGCACCUGACUGAGAGUCCACACUAUGUGGCCAUAUACAUCUGAGCAAGAGGGGUCUUUGUGGGAACCAUCUGCAAUCUUCAC